GAUGAAGAACGUAGCGAAAUGCGAUACGUAAUGUGAAUUGCAAAUUCAGUGAAUCAUCGAGUCAUUGAACGCACAUUGCGCCCCCUGGUAUUCCGGGGGGCAUGCCUGUCCGAGCGUCAUUGCUGCCCUCAAGCAAGGCUUGUGUGUUGGGCCCCGUCCUCCGAUCCCGGGGGACGGGCCCGAAAGGCAGCGGCGGCACCGCGUCCGGUCCUCGAGCGUAUGGGGCUUUGUCACCCGCUCUGUAGGCCCGGCCGGCGCUUGCCGAUCAACCCAAAUUUUUAUCCAGGUUGACCUCGGAUCAGGUAGGGAUACCCGCUGAACUUAAGCAUAUCAAUAAGCGGAGGA
rnacentral:misc_RNA from 1 species